UCCGUAGGUGAACCUGCGGAAGGAUCAUUCACAAUAAGUGUUCAAUGGCACUUUAAAAUCCAUUACCCACCUUGUGUGCAAUGUAAGGAGGAGGGGGUUUGUCAUACUUUGUUUGGCUCCCCUCUUUCAUUAUACAUACCAAUCUUCUCUUGUUGUCUACUUUUUGAGUAUAAAAAACUCGAAUACAACUUUCAACAACGGAUCUCUUGGCUCUCGCAUCGAUGAAGAACGCAGCGAAAUGCGAUACGUAAUGUGAAUUGCAGAAUUCAGUGAAUCAUCGAAUCUUUGAACGCAUAUUGCGCCUUCUGGUAUUCCGGAGGGCAUGCUUGUUUGAGUAUCAGUAACAACCUCAACUCCUUCUUCAUUGCGGAGAAAGAGUUGGAUUUGAGCAUUUCCACAAGUUCGUCUUGGAGGAUUGCUUGAAAUAUGAGGUUCGGCCGGCAGUUGCCUGGGCUACAAGCAUUUCAUACUUAAUCCCGUCAAACGGAUUAUAUCCUUUGCUGCAGCCAACAUACAGGGUAACUUGCCAGUGUUCCGACUGAUGCAGGAAAGUUGAGAACUUUGCUUCUCUUCUAAACUCGAUCUCAAAUCAAGUAAGACUACCCGCUGAACUUAAGCAUAUCAAUAAGCGGAGGAAAAGAAACUAACAAGGAUUCCCCUAGUAACGGCGAGUGAAGCGGGAUGAGCUCAAAUUUGAAAUCUGGCUGGUUUGACCAGUCCGAGUUGUAGUUUAAAGAGGCGUUUUCGGUGGCAGGCUGGGUACAAAUCCUUUGGAACAGGGUAUCAUAGAGGGUGAGAAUCCCGUCUCUGACUCAGUGCAUGCUACUAUGUGAUACGUCUUCAAAGAGUCGAGUUGUUUGGGAAUGCAGCUCAAAAUGGGUGGUAAAUCUCAUCUAAGGCUAAAUACCGGCGAGAGACCGAUAGCGAACAAGUACCGUGAGGGAAAGAUGAAAAGAACUUUGAAAAGAGAGUUAAACAGUGCGUGAAAUUGUUGAAAGGGAAACGCUUGAAGU
rnacentral:sRNA from 1 species